UAAAGGUAAGGCGGUGGUAAGUGUGAGUGUCAAUGGAGCAUUAGAGCCAGCGAGCCCGUCAUUGCAAAACUGCAUCAAAUACUCAAGCACUGGUAAAUACUUCAGCGUCCUGUGUGACUUUGGAACGGUAUUAAUACUUGAGUUAAAAGAGCUUGGUGACAGUUUCCAGGCAGUCAUUACCAAGAAACUCUCAUUCAGCAAAGGUGAACUUCUCGAAGGCCAUGCUUGGUCCACUGAUGAUGAGAUUUUUGCAGUGGCUGGAUACAGAAUCCACCUUUGUAAAGUCAGUGAGGACUUCCUCAUCUUUCACACUAUUCCUUUGUAUUAUUUGCCAAAAGACAUUUCCAUUAUCUUGAGGGAUUUUUCAUCUUCAGAUGAGAUUUAUCAUUUAGCAGUUGCGGGUCCAAAUGGAGUGGAGCUUUAUCAAAUGGAGUUGACAGACAACUUUAAAAUUGGUGCAUCCUUAUCAGUUCAUCCAGAUCUGGCCAUUGCUUUGGUGGAAUUUUCUCCAGACAAACAGAGCUUGGCAGUGGCUGCCUUUGAUGGCCAUUUUGGUAUAUGGACUGUUUCUAGCUUGUAUGCUGACCAAAAAGAGUUUUGGUAUAUCCACCUUAAAACUGUUCGCAUUACUAGCAUGGAGUUCUCUCAUGAUAGCUCUAUGGUUGCUGUGACAGGUUGGGAAGGCUGUUGGCAUUUGUAUAAGAAAGCUGUUCAAGAUGGGAGAUUGACUUGGAUAGAGUUUGAACAUGGUAUUAGCAUUGAUAAGGUGUCAGGGGAUCUACCUGGCUGUUUUGUGAGUUGGUCUCCAGAUAGCAGAUUCAUGAGAUUAAUUCAAUGUAAUGACCAGACAUUUAUCCUGUUGACAUUGGAUAUUCAGACCUCUGUAACCACACAAAUUUGUCUUGAUGGCAUUCCUAAAGGAGCAGCAAGUUUCAGUCAAAGAUCUGGGGAUUUCAUUCUCUUUUUCUUGCGAUCCAAGCAAUGUUUUGCUUUAAGGUGGCCAGAAACUCAACCUGUGUCUUUAGUGAAAAGUGUUUCCGUUGACGAAGAGAAAAAAAGACUUUUAUUUCAAGAAUCUUUUGAAGGCUCUGUGCUCGUAGAACUUUCGUCCAAGGGUUUAUUGACCCUGCAGUGGAGGAGGACGUCUCAAGAAAGCUUUUCCUGGUUGAGGGAGAUAGGAAAUAGAUCUGAGAGUAGCUGUGAAAAUUCAUCGACAGGAGUUGGCUCAGAAUGCUUAGAACAAAGGAACGAAGGGUUAAAUUUGGACGAAGAAGCUCUGGAGAAAAACUGUGAAAAUGACAGCAGCAGCUGUACAGAAGAUGAAACUAGAUUGCCUAAUGUUUCUGUAGGGCUUCAUGCCAUCGGGUCCACAGAAAAUGCCAGUUGCUCGUCGGGUAACGAGAAAACAAUUUCUGAAGACAAUCCUGUUGAAAGUAUGAAUACUCUGCAGACUUCGGAAGGGUCUGAGACUUCCUAUGAAAAUUUUUACCCCAAGACUAACAGCAAAUCCCAGUGUACUUCUAGUUUAUCUAACGAAGUGUUAACUUUAGAAGCACCAUUUAUCAAUCCAGGACUUUUUCAGAAGUCUUGGACUGGUAGCUCUAAGUUUCUAUCAAGAAGCGACGUGCGACUGCUAAUUUCAACAAACUAUGUAAUAGUGCCCGCCUUACCCCUGUUAGUGUAUGUGUAUGAGUCGCAAAUCAAAGAGUGGGAAACGCUGCUAUUCCCCUGUCCAGUCGAAAGCUGCUGUCUCACUGCAGAUAGAUAUCUCGUACUUCUCACCACCGGCGGCAACUUGAGGAUUUGGUGUUUGUGCACUAUGAAAAUGAUCUACUGCUCUGGCAAGGCUCUUUUCAAUAUGGAAACUAGCUCUCAAAGGUGUUUGAUGUUAGGAGAUCCGUUUGAGCUUCAGUUUAGCAUCGUCAAGGUGGAUCAAGCAGGCUCUGGAGAAAUGAUACGAGUCUCCAUGUAUCCAGGGCGGAGAGAAAGAGAGUUGUAAAAGUGUCUAUCUUGAGAAUAUGGCACAAUGAGCCGGUCAGGAGCUCGAACCUACACCUUUCGAUCCAAGUGUCAACCGUUUGGCCACCGCGUCCUACGAGGCCAAGGCAACCUCAAAGUUACCAUGAAACGUUUACCGCUCUAUUAUCCUGAUCUACUGAGUCAGAGCAGUAAAAGUCAAUUGUGUGGCUC
rnacentral:misc_RNA from 1 species